UACGUAGGGGGCAAGCGUUGUCCGGAUUUAUUGGGCGUAAAGAGCGUGUAGGCGGCUGGGUAGGUCCGUUGUGAAAACUCGAGGCUCAACCUCGAGACGCCGAUGGAAACCCUCCAGCUAGAGUCCGGAAGAGGAGAGUGGAAUUCCUGGUGUAGCGGUGAAAUGCGCAGAUAUCAGGAAGAACACCCGUGGCUAAGGCGGCUCACUGGCCCGGUACUGACGCUGAGGUGCGAAAGCGUGGGGAGCAAACAGG
rnacentral:rRNA from 1 species